GACGAACGCUGGCGGCGUGCUUAACACAUGCAAGUCGAACGGAAAGGCCCUGCUUUUGUGGGGUGCUCGAGUGGCGAACGGGUGAGUAACACGUGAGUAACCUGCCCUUGACUUUGGGAUAACUUCAGGAAACUGGGGCUAAUACCGGAUAGGAGCUCCUGCUGCAUGGUGGGGGUUGGAAAGUUUCGGCGGUUGGGGAUGGACUCGCGGCUUAUCAGCUUGUUGGUGGGGUAGUGGCUUACCAAGGCUUUGACGGGUAGCCUGCAUGAGAGGGUGGCCGGCCACAAUGGGACUGAGAUACGGCGCAGACUGCUACGGGAGGCAGCAGGGGGGAAUAUUGCACAAUGGGCGGAAGCCUGAUGCAGCAACGCCGCGUGCGGGAUGACGGCCUUCGGGGUGUAAACCGCUUUCGCCUGUGACGAAGCGUGAGUGACGGUAAUGGGUAAAGAAGCACCGGCUAACUACGUG
rnacentral:rRNA from 1 species